rnacentral:rRNA from 1 species
AUUGAACGCUGGCGGCAGGCCUAACACAUGCAAGUCGAGCGGAUGAAGAGAGCUUGCUCUCUGAUUUAGCGGCGGACGGGUGAGUAAUGCCUAGGAAUCUGCCUGGUAGUGGGGGAUAACGUUCCGAAAGGAACGCUAAUACCGCAUACGUCCUACGGGAGAAAGCAGGGGACCUUCGGGCCUUGCGCUAUCAGAUGAGCCUAGGUCGGAUUAGCUAGUUGGUGAGGUAAUGGCUCACCAAGGCGACGAUCCGUAACUGGUCUGAGAGGAUGAUCAGUCACACUGGAACUGAGACACGGUCCAGACUCCUACGGGAGGCAGCAGUGGGGAAUAUUGGAUAAUGGGCGAAAGCCUGAUCCAGCCAUGCCGCGUGUGUGAAGAAGGUCUUCGGAUUGUAAAGCACUUUAAGUUGGGAGGAAGGGCAUUAACCUAAUACGUUAGUGUUUUGACGUUACCAACAGAAUAAGCACCGGCUAACUUCGUGCCAGCAGCCGCCGUAAUAC